CAAUAGCGUAUAUUAAAGUUGUUGCAGUUAAAAAGCUCGUAGUUGAAUUUCUGGCGGGCGCGCCGGUCUUCCAAGUGUUGUACUGGGCGCAGUCCGCCAUCCUUGUGGAGAGGGCUCGCAUUGAGUUGCGUGUCGGAUCUGCAUCAUUUACUGUGAAAAAAUUAGAGUGUUUAAAGCAGGCUGUCGCUUGGAUACAUUAGCAUGGAAUAAUAAGAUAGGACUUCGGUCUAUUUUGUUGGUUGCGAACCGAGGUAAUGAUUAAUAGGGAUAGUUGGGGGUAUUCAUAUUUAAUUGUCAGAGGUGAAAUUCUUGGAUUUAUGAAAGAUGAACAACUGCGAAAGCAUUUACCAAGGAUGUUUNCAUUA
rnacentral:rRNA from 1 species